ACUACGGGAGGCUGCAGUGAGGAAUAUUGGUCAAUGGGCGCGAGCCUGAACCAGCCAAGUCGCGUGAGGGAAGACGGUCCUAUGGAUUGUAAACCUCUUUUGUCGGGGAGCAAAAGACGCCACGCGUGGCGUUCCGAGAGUACCCGAAGAAAAAGCAUCGGCUAACUCCGUGCCAGCAGCCGCGGUAAUACGGAGGAUGCGAGCGUUAUCCGGAUUUAUUGGGUUUAAAGGGUGCGCAGGCGGAAGAUCAAGUCAGCGGUAAAAUUGAGAGGCUCAACCUCUUCGAGCCGUUGAAACUGGUUUUCUUGAGUGAGCGAGAAGUAUGCAGAAGGCGUGGUGUAGCGGUGAAAUGCAUAGAUAUCACGCAGAACUCCGAUUGCGAAGGCAGCAUACCGGCGCUCAACUGACGCUCAUGCACGAAAGUGUGGGUAUCGAACAGGAUUAGAUACCCGGGUAGUC
rnacentral:rRNA from 1 species